rnacentral:misc_RNA from 1 species
CAUGCCUAUACCGGUCCUAUGAAGGCUUCACUCGCUUCCGUUUGCUUGUUAGGAGACACCUCCCGAUGAGUCGCGGUUCGAUGCGUGAUGCCAUGUUGUAGUGAACCUGAUGGUGUGUGAGUGGCGUUUGGGUCGUGUGGGUUGGUAGGCUCCUUGCUCGUGCAACGAACUAUCGUCACAUGCCCCUCUUCAUUCGCUUAAAGCGCUGAAACAGGCCUUGGGCGUCGUGAUACGAUGGUUCCUGUGUUGCUUUCCUAAUGGAUGGAAUUGUCCCUCCCUCGAAUGUUGCCUCUCUCCGCUUAGCUUCGCUCACGCGGCGCAGGUGGACCUCGAAAGCAAUCAUCGUUCCCAUGGUCGCCCCACGCAUGCAUGCAUGAGAGGGGUCGAGCAUGGCCCAUGACGGUUGCUCGUUCUUUCGGAUGCGGAACCUUGGAACGGGCGUGGGAUUUAUGAUCCCUAUAGUCGCUCGAGCUAAGCGUUCGUCGCUGGAUGCGUACGACGGUUGUCACCGUCUUUGCCCUCCCGUUCCCCCUGGGGGCCUCGGUGAGGCGCAUGCGGUGCCAGCGUCGCACCGGAAUG